rnacentral:rRNA from 1 species
CAGCCGCCGCGGUAAUACGUAGGGUGCAAGCGUUAAUCGGAAUUACUGGGCGUAAAGCGUGCGCAGGCGGUUAUAUAAGACAGAUGUGAAAUCCCCGGGCUCAACCUGGGAACUGCAUUUGUGACUGUAUAGCUAGAGUACGGCAGAGGGGGAUGGAAUUCCGCGUGUAGCAGUGAAAUGCGUAGAUAUGCGGAGGAACACCGAUGGCGAAGGCAAUCCCCUGGGCCUGUACUGACGCUCAUGCACGAAAGCGUGGGGAGCAAACAGGAUUAGAUACCCCAGUAGUCCCUGUCUCUUAUAU